rnacentral:lncRNA from 1 species
CCCCGGCCACGGCGGCCCGGCGACAACAGCAAAUCCGUUCACUGGAAGCUGGGAGCCGACAAUGAGGUCUGGGUCUGGGUGAUGGGUGAACAUCACCUGGACAAACCCUACGACGUGAUCUGUGAUGAGAUCCUCGCGGAGAGGGCGAGGCUGAAGGCUGAGCAGGAGACGCCGGAGCUCAGAAAAGCUCAGCCCAGAGAGCUCAGCAGCAGCUCGAAAUCAAAGCUGCCGUCCUCCGAGGGGCGGGCGCCCGGUGCCGGGGAGAUCGGGAAUGUGGGCGAGAAGGCGGCAGAGGUGGGGACGCCGGGCCGAGGCUGCAGGCCGGCUGCACCACUCGGAGAGCAGAAAGCACCCCUGUCCUCCAGCUCCUCAAGAAAUAUUCACCAAAUGUUGGCAGAUUCUGUCAGUCGUAUAAAGGAAUUCGGAUUUCACCAGAAGAAAGUGUCAGUGAAGCAAACACAAGAUGAAGAAAUAAAACAGACAGAUGAAGAGAGAACCAAGGAGAUUUAUACAAACUGGAAAGAAGAUUCGGAGUGGCAGGCUUCUUUGCGAAAAUCCAAAGCCGCUGAUGAGAAGCGGCGGUCCCUGGCCAAGCAGGCGCGGGAGGACUACAAGCGGCUGUCGCAGCGGGGCAGGAGCGGCAAGGGGCCGCAGGGCCCCCCGGGCGGCCCCCCGAAACCCAAGAGGCCCCCGCUCCCCCCCAAGCCUCAUUUCCUGAGCCCAGCAGGACAGCCACACACACCUCUCAGGAAUCAGAAAGUGACGAGGCCGGCGUCCAGCCCAGCCCAGGAGGACAUCAGGCGCUGGUUCCGGGAGGAGCAGCUUCCUCUGCGGGCGGGCUACCUGGCGGACUCGGACAGCAUCGCUCCCUGGUUCCACGGAAUCCUCACCGUAAACAGAGCGAACGAGCUUCUGAGCACCUGCGUGCCGGGCAGCUUUCUGAUCCGGGUCAACGAGAAGGUCAAGGGCUACGCCCUGUCCUACCAGUCUGAGGACGGCUGCAAGCACUUCCUCAUAGAUGCCUCCUUGGACUCAUACAGCUUCCUGGGCGUGGACCAGCUGCAGCACGCCAGCCUGGCCGAGCUGGUGGAGUACCACAAGGAGGAGCCCAUCACCUCCCUGGGGAAGGAGCUCCUUCUGUACCCCUGCGGUCAGCAGCAAGAGCCACCCGACUACCUGGAGCUGUUUGAGUGACAGCCCUGCAGCCAGCAGACCCCACGGCUGUGGACACACGUGAGAAGCCACGGCGAGCCGACCCCGAGCAAGUGAAAGGACCCUUGAGGUUCCAUAAAGAUCUCUGCACGCAUGCUAGAGUUUCACGCCAAGAGGGAAUCACCUCCUCCAGCAAUAAAGGGGGAUGAGCCCGCA